rnacentral:snoRNA from 1 species
UAGUGACUAAGCACUUGACUUGCUCCUAGGUAGUGUAUGCUGUCUGUUUCUUGUAUGGGUUGCUGUACGGAACCGUGGAGACAGAC